rnacentral:lncRNA from 1 species
GAGUAGAAGACUUAAAAGAAUCUAGGUGUUUUAAUACGGCCAGGAGUCUUAAACAUAAAUGGUUCACUUGUAAUGGAUAAGUUCACAAAAACUUUGGUAUUUGGUAGGACUUUGCUCAUGAUCCAAAUAUAGUUAUUUCAAAUUAUGCAGAGUGUAGAAAACAUACCGUGUUAUCUUGAUGAACCAAGUUCUUCAUUGAUAAUUCUCUUGUGUAAGUCUAAAUUUUCCAAAAUAGAGAAAAUAUUAUUAUUGAUCCAAUUUAACACAUGGCAUAAGAGUAUACUAUGGAAAGUAUGAGACUGAGCAAGAUUUAAUGUAAUUAUACACAAUUUAUUGACAUUCUAACUAAUUUUUUUUAAUUUCUUUCGUUUAACCUUGAAUUGGUCCUUUUAGGUGAUCUUAAUCAUCCCUAAUUUCAACAUGCUCCUCUCAAAGUGAUCUCCACUUAACGAUUUUGUGAAGUGUUAGCAAUUUGCUUGUCAGAAGCACAAAAGUCCACAGUGAUUAAGCCUUUCCCAUUGUUGUCCCUAAAAUAAUUGUGUCUAACAUGUAUGUGCUUAGCUCUCAUAUGAUGAACCAAUUUCUUUGUCAUGCUAAUAGAACUAGUGUUAUUACAAAAAAUAGGGAUGCAACCAACACCAAUUCCAAAAUUCAUGAACUUUUGUUUGAUCCACAACAAUUGGGCACAUUAGGAAUCAGUAACAAUAUACCCAACUUCAGCAGUGGGUAAGGCCACCGAAUUUUGCUUUUUAGUAGCCUAUGACACAAGACAUGAGCCAAGAAAGUGUGGCAUACUUGAUGUGCUCUUCCUAUCCACAAGGAAACCUACAUAAUCUGCGCCAGCAUAUCCUACUAGGUUAAAAUUACUACCUUUUAGACACCAAAGUCAAAGGUCAGUGGUGCCUUUCAAGUAUCUCAAUAUUCUCUUGACAUCGGUCAAGUUGGAUUCAUUUGGAUUUACUUGAAAUCGAGCAUAAAGCCCUAAACUGAAAAAAAUAUUAGGUUUGCUAGCAGUAAGAUACAAAAGAGAACUAAUCAUUCCCCUAUACAACUUCUGAUCAACAGAUGAACCGGGAUCAUCUAUAUCCAAUUUUUUUGGAUGUUAUAAUAGGAGUGACAAUUUCUUUGGAUGUUACUUUCUUGUUUUGUUAUUGAGGAAUAGGUUCAUGGACAGGUUCCAUCGAGGUUUGAGGAUCAGUCCCUCUCUAGUAGGUUCCCCCUGUCAUAUUGCCCCGGGUGGAAGGACAUGUUCCAUCACCUGUUCCUUCUUGUGAUACAUCUUCAGGAUGGACUCCAGUUUAACCAUUUGAAUUUCUUAUCAGCCCAAUAUCUUCAUUACCUAGUUCCUGCCCUAUAGAGAGAAUGUUAGUUUUUUUAAAACAAUAACAUAGACAUUUAUUUUAUACAUACAUAGUUCUUUUAUUGUAUAUCUUAUAACCUUUACUAUGUGAAAAAAUUCCAAGAAUACUCCCUCACUUCUGGGAUCAUACUUACUAAGAGAGUCUUUUUCAUUAUUGUGCACAAAGCACUUGCAUCUAAAUGCCUUUAGAUGGGAUAGAUUUAGCUUUCUCCCCUUGAGUGACUCAUAUGGAAUCUCUUAACAAGAGGUUUAGUCAUGCAACAAUUUAUGAUGUAGCAUGCAAAAAUUAAGCAAGCUUAGCAUUUUAAAAUUCAGUUCCAUGAUCAGACCUAAUUGAUGCAAGUUGAUUACCAGGUUAUUUAUGAGUUUUCUAACAAAAGAAGUAAACAUGUCAAAUUCUUCAUCUUUGGAUAUGAAAAAUAACGUCCAAGUAAACCUAGAGUAAUCAUUAACAAACACCAUCACAUAUCUUUUACCACAUCUACUUAAUGUUCUCAUUGAACCACAAAGAUCCAUACGGACAAGUCUAUCGUUCUGGUGGUUCUUACCACUUUCUUGCAUGUAAAAGAGGAUCUUACAUGUUUCCCCCUUGCACAAGCCUUACAAACUUUGUCUUCCUUGAACUUGAUGUUAGGAAGCCAUAUCACCAGGUCCUUGGAGACUAAUUUAUUGAGUUGACUUAGACUUUCAUGUCCAAGUCUCUUGUGCCAAAUGACAGAAUCAUUGUCCAACACAUUUAAGUAAGUGAGUUCAUUUUCCGAAGGUGUGGACAAAUCUAUGAUGUAUAUAUUGUAUACUCUUUUUCCCUACAAAACAAUCUUGUCACUGGUAAGAUAAAUCACAAAACAUUUGGUAGAGGUGAAUACUACCAAGGUAUCUCCAUCAUAUAAUUGUGAUACACUGAUUAGACUGUACUUAGGUCAUCAAUCAAGUAUACAUUCUCAAUCGAGUGAUAAUCCGUCUUACCUACCUUUUCAACCCCAAUGAUCUCAAUUUUAUUCCCAUUUCCAAAGGAGACAUUACCUCUUUUGAGGUCCUCAAGUGAAAGGAACUGGUUAUUGCUUCCUGUCAUAUGCUAUGAGCAGCCACUAUCCAUGUAUCAUAUUUUGCUGCUCCCCUUCACGUGGCUCCGUAAAAGGAAAUCAAGGCUUAGUCUUAGGAACCCAAACUAGUUUGGGUCCAUUUCUGUAGGCGAAAGGGUGAAUCAGAUUCUUUUUAGCCCAACCUUGUAGUCUAUUUUUCCGAAGAACAAACUCUUUAUUCUUUUGACUAGCCUUUUCUUUUGCAAUUCAUUCACUUUUAUAGUUAACAGUUUUACCACAGUGUGUACAAAUUAUGUUCUCACAAAGUGUGAAGUACUUGCUUUUUGGAUCCCAUUUAGGUAUAGGGAUCCUGUAGCCAAGUCGUCUCUCAUUGCUACUAUGGUGUUCAUGUAGCCAUGAAAGUCCAUUGGAGGACCUAUUUCAUUUACAGGUUCUGACUAGCUCGUGCUUAACCUUGUUUAGAUCCUCCUUAAGGACUCUUAUAUGCUCAUCUCUUUUGUACAACUCGUCUUUUAUUUUUCCUAGCUUUUCUUCAAAUGUGUUUUGUGUCUAUCAAUUUCCAUUUUACCUAUUCCUAAUUUUAGUUUUAGACUUUUAGAUCUUAGCUCUAGGAUAAUGGUGUCAAGCUCAAGAACCUGGUUCUUUAACUAAGUAUUUUUACUUUCACUUUCACUAGCCUUAAGUUCCAGAUUUUUUCACUUAGCUUUCAAAAUCACACACUCCUUAGAUAGAUGUUCCAUUUCAUUAUUCAAAUCCUCAAGUUCGUCAAUGAAAUCCAGGAAUAACUCAGAUAGCCUUUCUCUAGACAAAAAUUUAAUUGUGUCUUUGAGAUGAAUUAUACUUACCUCAAAUUCCUCAUCGGAUUCUCCAAUAUCCAUAAGUGCUUUUUCAUCUCCAUAUUCACCCUCUAAGUCCUAAUCUGAUCUUUCUCCCCAGGAAUCAACCAUAGCCUUUGUUGAUCCUUUGUUGUUCUUGGGUUAAAACUGUUACUUCUUCCCGUUCAUUCGUUCAGCUCUUUCUUUCUUCCAUUCAAUUUCCCAUUGAGGGUAGUUUUUGAUGUGGUGAUACAUCUUCCCACACUUUUAAUGCCCCUCAUUGGUUUGUGUUUGAGGAACUCUUGGUUUUCAAUAGCUUCCACUUCUUGAAGGACCAUUUCCUCUCAUUAGGUACUUCCAAGAUAGUUAAGUUCAUUUGUCAGUGUAGAGAACCUUGUAUACAUCUCUUGGAUGGUUUCUCCUUCCUUCAUGGUGAAAUUCUCAUAUUAAGAAUGCAGCAGUGUUCCUCCGGAUCUCUUCACUUGAGGUAUUCCUUCAUGCGCCACUUGCAAAGUAUCCAAGAUUUCCUUAGAAGCAGUACAACUUUGAAUUUUAUUAUACUCGCCUGGACCAAGUCCACACACAAGUCAUUUCUUGGCCUUACCAUUCUUUUUCCAUUUCCUCAAUCCACUGAUAGGCCUCCGCUCUUUAAUGUCCAGUACUACUCUUAGUGGAAAAUACGUCAAUACCACACAAGAGGGGGGUGAUUUGUGUGGUGUCCAAUUUUUCGCUUAAUCUGCUUAUGGAAGGACCUGGUUCUUCUAUGUGUUCUAACUACGACUGUUGCAGAAUAAUAAGUAUAGAAAUAAAGAACAAAAAGAUUUUUACGUGGAAAACAUCUGGGUCAAAAGGUAAAAAAUCACAACCUACUACUCGGUAGGAUUUUCUCCAACACUUCACUAAAUCAUUGAGCCAAAACAAUAUUUGGAAAACUCAUUGUAAACCUAAGGAUUACCUCUAAUCCCGUUGUAGCAACCAGCCUCUAACUAUUGCGACAACUUCAAUUUACUCUAACUUGAAUACUCAAAGUAGCUAUUACAACUGCUUCUAGAUAAAGUUGAAAGAUAUAAUAUGAAAAUCCCUACUACAAUUGAACUAGAAAUAAAGAAAGACACAUAAAACUCUUUAUGGAUCUGGUUCUUCAAUCGGUAUCAUGUAGCUUCAUGUUUGCAAACUUGAAUCAUACAAAAAUUGCUUGCACAAAACCUUGCUAAUUUGCUCUCAAUUCAUGUUUAACUUCUGCAUUUUUGUGCAACACUUGUAUUGGGAGAACAUCUUGCAAUUUGUAGAGUUAGUAAAUGUAGAAAUAACUAGAGUUCUGAUGCAACUCUUCCUUGGUGGAAGAGUUCUAUUUGAUUUCAACUUCUAGCUUUUUCCCUAUAUUGAAUAGUGUUCUCUUUGAUUCUUAUCAAUUAUGCAACAUUUUCAAUCAGGAGAUAUUAAAUACACCAAGUUAAACUUAUCUCUUUCACUUGUAAUCCACAUGCUCGAAUCUACCCGUUUUGUGCACCUAAUGGAUGGACCUAGUUCAUCCUGAGUUCAUUUGACAGUCUUCAAUACGAACCUUUACUUGUCCCAACAAACUCGUAUCAGAAUGGGUUAUUAGAUUUAUUGAGUUUUUAGGACUCCGGGCACGUGCGCCCGAGGGAAAUUUCGUCAACAUUUCGAGCGAAGUUAUAAAUUUAUCUAAAUUGAAUUGUGGUGAGUAUAAGAGAAUAUAUUUAUGGAUUUUCUCAUUUUUCGGCUAGUUUUAGAGCGUUGUGCAUUGAUCUGAGUCGUCGGAAGGGCUUGGAAGCCGGUUAUAGAACUUCAAAAUGAGGUAAGUAUCCUUUCUAACCUUGUAAGAGGGAAUUAUCCCUAUAGGUGAACUAAUUUUAUAAUGUUCUUCUAAUUAUAGGGUGCUACAUACGCACGAGGUGACGAGAGUCCGUACGUAGCUACUAGCUAUGCCUAUGUACGGGUAGUUUUAGGCUUACAUCAUGCUUUAUUGAUAUUUUUGUUAAUUUAUGUUAUCGUUGUCUUGAGAAGAAACAAGAUUAGGGUUGCAUAAUAAUUGUGUUGAAAGGAGUUUGAAUUGAGGAAUUUAAGAUUUUAAGGGUUUCCAUGAAACUUCGUAUUUUGAAAUAAUUGAGAAAUACUAUAAUGACUUAUGAAACCUAUGUGUAACCGCAUCACAUGUGCACAUCGCGAGCGGGGAAAAUCUCUUUAAAAUCUUCACGUUUAUUAUCCUUAUUUUGAAAUGGAAUCAAUAAAAAGGAUAUCCAUUAAUCAAUAAAUUAUAUUUGACCGCAUCGCACCUAUGGGAUCGAGCAAUUCGCCUCGGCAGGAUUUAUGUACCACACUCUCAAAGGAGCGGGUCGUUCGCCUCGACACUUCAAUAGAUGCUAUAGUUCAUGUUGUUCGACCCUCGACAAUGCACAAUCUACUUUUAUGUUGUAUCGGGCCAUACGCCUCGGUAAUCUUAUAUACAUACAUCAUUUUUAUAGAAUUUGUGCAUAAUAUUUGGCUAGAAUCAGGUGUAUCUUAGGGUUUUUUCAUGAUUUGGUUUAUGACAAACUCUUGAUGAUAUCCACUAUAUCUAUAAUAUGCUCCGGUUAUGGAGGGAACUUGCUAGUUGAGAGAUUGAGAAAAAAAUUGUAAAGAAGAGCAUUGUACUACGUAUUUAAUACAUGUUUAUCUCAUAUAUUUACUAUGUGUUAUACUUAUUCACUUCUUUACUGUAUUUGACAUUACUAGACCACUAGUAAUUGUCGAAGUCAACCUCUUGUCACUACUUCUUCGAGGUUAGAUUGGAAACUUAAUGGGUACGCAUUGCUUUUGUACUCAUACUAUACUUCAUGUGCAUUUUUAUUACACUGGUACAUAUAUGCCUAGUGGCCUCAUUGGGUGCAUCAUCAUGGUGGAUACGGAAACUAAGGUGAGUUGCAACUCUAGAUACGACCCACAACCAGCAGAGUCUCCUUCGGAGUAUUAUAUUUUCCUUUCAGUCCAAUUUGUAUUUCGGAUAGUUACUGUAUUACAUAUUAAAUAUCUAGAAAUUUCUCAUGCACUUGCGACUCCGGGUUCUGUGGUGACUAUGGAGUUUCUCAGUAUUUAAAUUGGUUAAAGACAUCAUUAUUUACUCAGUGAAGUUCAUUAUUUAUUGUGUAAUGUAAGGAAAAGAAACGAUUUCAAAAAUACUGAUAUGCGAAUUUUGAUAUCUUCUUGGUAUUGGCUUGCCUGACAGUGGUGUCCGAUGCCAUCGCGACCUUUAAUGGAUUUUGGGUCGUGACAAUAUGGUAUCAAAGCACUUGGUUCGAUUGCAUCUCAUGAGUCAUGAGCGAGUCUAGUAGAGUCUUGUUGAUCGGUAUGGAGACGUCUGUACUUAUCUUUGAGAGGCUACAGGGCUGUUAGGAGCAAUUCCCUUCUUGAUUUCUCAUCGUGCGAUUUGAUUCCCUUAAGGCAUAUGCCUUCAUUUCCUUCCCAUUCAAUCUUAUGUGACGUGAAGUGAUGGUUCUAAAUCAGGAAUCAAGGAAUUAAAAUGGUACCACAGAUGUGGUGCGUGAUGUUUCCUCCUUCGUAUUUGAGUGGGCAGCGAAGGAUUAGGAAGGGCAUGUGGGAUGUGUAUUUUGGUGACUAAUCUUCUAGAAGGCCAAGUGUGGGAAACAUGAGUCAAGUAUUUGCUUAAAAGGGUGAGUUUGACCAAUGUGGGAGAGUGGCAGAGUAGCCUAUGAGUUUAAUGGCAUGAUAACUAUAUGCCCUGAGGAAACGUUCAGAGAGAUUUGGGAAUUUUAGUGGAUAGUGGUUGGGUCCACGAGCUUAAUUUGAAGUAUUGGAUAUUAUACGAUUGGGGAUUGGAUCCAAUAUAAAUAAGUUGUUUGGCAUGAGGAAGAAUGCAACAUAACCUUGAAGGAAGAUAUUUUCGUGUAUUUAGUUGAUGUCCAUAAGGGAUGAACAUGCUAGUACAAUUGGUGGACGAGCAUAGGCUCAAGGUGGGUUAUCUGUGUCAUAGUGAUUGUACCCCCAUGAAGCGAUGUUGGAGGAUGACGUCAUGUAAUAUCUAUAGGUGGGUUAUCUCCUGUGAGUAGGUCAGUGGUCACGUGGUUGGCAAAGCUUCUGCAAAGGAUUUUAUUGGCUAUCCAGUAAGAGAUUAAAUGUAUGGAUAUGGUUAGUGAUCUAGAUAGUUCAUGAAAGGCCAAACAGAAGGGUAUCGAGUAGUUUGGCAAGUUGGUUGUGCAUGAUCAGGUCGACGAUGAAGAAAUUGAUGGGUUCUAGAGAUAUCUAACAGAUGGCCCCAAGCUAAGUGGGAGAGUCCUACCGCCUACGAUUGGGUUGCAUGGUUAUUUGCUUGUGAGGUUCGUGUUAUCACCGUAUUGGUAUGUUGUUAAAACUAAAGAAAAACAACUUAAGUGAUAAUUUAAGUGGAGGAAUUGAUAAAUGUGUGCUAUAGUUGGCGUUAUUGACUCAUGUUCAGGCUUUGGAAAGAUUCAGGAUUUAUGUUUCGUAUAGAGGUGAUUUACAAGGGAAAUGAUUCAGUCGAGUGCUUCAUUGAGAUGGGUGUUCAUAUGUCAGCGGAGCCUUGGAGUUUAUUAUAUUCGGGACUAAGAGAAAAUGGGUGACUCUCAACAACGGUCUUAGUGAAUUCAAAGGUUAAAAUGUGGUACCCAAGGAUUCAAGCCCGUAGUAUGGUUAAAAACCGAGCUUCUGUAGCAGAUUAUGAUAAAAGCCUCGGAAUGUUCUAUGAUAUUUUCUACUUGCAGUGUAGUAUUGGGAGAAAAAAAAAGAUUUCGGAUUCGUAGAGGAAUUAUGAGAAUGGGUGUAUCAGUUGAAGAUGCGAAUGUAUGUGUAAUGAGGGUAUAAAACGGUUCAUGGGUUUGGAGACAAUGUGGUAAGGUAAAAUGGGGUCACUCAAGAUGAGUGCGGAUUUAGGUUGGUGAUGUAAGGAAUGGAGUUAUUAUUAUCUCUAAGACAAGUUAAGGAUCAAUUAGAAGAAGUUAGAUUGGUUAGUCAUGGUUGAAUUGGCAUAAUGGUUGCUGUGAUCAGUUCCUUUAGCGUGAUUAAGUUAUGCAUGAGAUUUGUGGUGGCACGUGCGAGGUUUGACGGCCGCCGUAAUCGAUUUUAUUUGGAAGUAUUCAAGUAUUAUGGACUUUUAUGUGUAGGCAGAUCCCGGAAGGGUCAUGGUGGUUUAUACCACUACUCGAGGAUUUGAAUGUUCUGCAAUUAUGAGAAUUCACUCGCGUGUUGCUAUGGUUAUCUUGGAAUGAGUUAAUUAAAAAGUUUCUAUGUGAUGAAGUGUUCACCCUAAUAGUGGUUCAGGAGUUAUGAUGAAAUUCUUGUACUAUCGCAUAUUGGCGUGUUAGGUGUACUGAGCAAUAUGAAAUUUUAAAGUGAUGAUCGAGAUUGUCGCUCGAUUAUGAUAAGGAUGUCACAAACUCGAAUAAAGCAAGAAGGGGAUUUGAAUGUUUGGAGUAAAAUGAUAUCGUCUUCAGCGUCCUGAGAUCGGCAUUUUAUGUUAGAGGCUUUAUAUCUUGGUUACGGAUUCUUGAUAUGCUUUACAACAUUAAUGUGACCUCUGGUAUGAAUGUGCAGACUUGUUAUCUAACGCGGAAGGUCGUGGGAGCAUAUCUCACGGGAAGAUUGUAUAAGUGUAACAUGUAGUCACUUGAUUGAUUGAAGAUUUAAAUCAAGUGUGAAGAUUAUGGUAGUAUCACUAAUUUGAGAAUUUAUGCCUAGAGGGUACUCGGUUUAUUGGAUUAUGGACUGUGGAGGUUUGCUCCGGAUAUGAGGUUUGUUCUUGUGAGCAUGGGAAAAAAGGGUUAUAUGGACCCUUGAAAGGUUAUUAGCCUAGUACAAUGUGCAGUCAGAAUCGGCUCAAGGUCGAUGGGUGGAUUUAAAAAUGAAUAUGGGCUCUAUAUCAGUCCAGAUGUGUUCAUUUCAGCAUAGCACUCCUUAUGGAGAAGUAUUCGAACGUUGGAAGUUAUCUCGUCAGGGGCUAUUUCAUGUAAUAUUAUAGUGUGUCAUGUGAUUUGUGAAACGACUUGAUAAUUUUCUUAUGUGUUGAGAUUCCACGUAGCGAUGGUGUUAUGUUGGCAAGAUGGCUCUUGAGAUUCAAAUCAUAUAUCGUACCCAUUUGUGCUUGAGUUUUGUAGCGUAUGGCACUAUUUGUCUCUCCAGGGAUGGUAUUAUGAACUUCGUGUGCUUGUGGACAUUGUUCGAUAUUUUGUAGUAAUGAGCACUCUAGCUCAAUAUGUAUCUCCUUAUAUAGAUUUUAUGUGUGGAUCGAGUGGCACGCCGCCAUAGGUAUGUUGAUGGGAUCGGGUUGCACACCGCAAUAGUGUGAUAUUGAGUAUAACCUUGCAUUCUAUUUUGUGUGUUUUGUCUCCUAUUGUUUUCUGAGGAUGGUUUAUAACACCUUUUCGGUUGUCUAAUUAGUUGUGAAAGUUGAGUAGUCCCUUCCCGAGUUCGUUUUCCUUAUGUAUCACGUUCAUGUCUGUAGCCUAUUAGCACACUGUGGCAUCAUGUGAGACAUUUUGGUCAUGUCUGGGCUGACUUGUUUCCUGAGCAACUCAUACUAGGUGAGACGAGAUUAUUGGAUCUAGGAUCAACGCGAUUGGAUUAUAUGAAGCAUAUUAAAUAGCAAUUACCAUUAUUUGGUUCAGAAUGAGGUAAUGGUUUUUAUCAGGAGUAUAAACUCAAUAAGUUGUUGACUCGGCAGUUGGUUGUGAAUUUCUACACGUCUCUUCCAUCGUAGUAGUAUUGUAAGUGUUGGAACAAGACUUAUAUAUGUAAUGAGGUACAUUGUGAGCAUCAGAUCUGGGAAAUGCUAGUUAUUAUGAUUAGAGAAUGGUAUUAUGGUCCUGUGAAUGAUGCGGAGCGUGGUGAGAAUUCAGCAAAGGUAUGCAUUCAUGUUCUGGUACAUCAUGUAAUGAUUGAUACGAUGUUCAUAUAUUGGAAGCAGGCCUGGCAGAGAAUUUCGGAUGUUGAAACUGGGCUCUAAGGCUCAUAUUCCUAAAUAAAAGAGGAUAUCUUCAGAUUUGAUUGAGCUAAUGUUUUCAACUGAGUUAUUGUAGCCCGGGUAGGUGCACGAGGGGUUAUACAGUAAUUUUGGUCAACUUCACUGUAGUUCUCGGCAUGUUCUAGGACGAAUGUAUGUUUAAGUGGGAGAGAAUGUAAUGAUCCGACCGGUCAUUUUGAGCUCUAGCGCAUCGUUCAGUAGUUUGAGCCCAUGAGUAGAUACACUUCAGGUAUUAUCACUUGCAUGCAUGGUCGAAAUUGAAUUUUGGAAGUUCGGAGUUGAUUCAGAAAGAAAAAUCUUAUUUCAGAAGCUUUAAGUUGGAAGAAUUGACUAAAGUGCAAUUUUUUAGUAACGACCUUAGAAUUGGAAUUUGAAGUUCAAAAAUGUUCGUAUGACACCUAUUGUGGAAGCUAGAAUUUUGGAAGAAUUUCAUAAAUUUGGGUUGAAGUGCAUUUAUAUUUUAUCAAUGUCAGUUUGAGAUUCCAAGUCUGGGGAUAGCUCCGCAUGGUGAUUCUGGUAUUGGGAGCACGUCCAUAAGUCGAUUCGGAUGUCCGUAGGUCAUUUCGGAGUCAUUUGGCGAAAGUUAUUAGUUGAAGAUUUUUGGAAAGUUUGAUCAGGAGUGGACUUUUUGAUAUCGGGGUCGAAUUCUGAUUCUGGAAGUUGGAGUAGGUCCGCAAUGUCGAAUGGGACUUUUCUGCAAAAUUUGAUGUACAUGGAUGUGAUUUGAUAGGUUUUUGCUUCGAAUAUAGAAAUUGGAAUUUCUUAGUUUCAUUAUACUCGAAUUGGCGUUUGAUUUGGGUUUUGGGGGUUGUUUAUAGUGAUUUGAGGCCUCGACUAAGUCUGUGAUAUAUUUUAAGACUUGUUGGUAUGUUUGGAGUUGUCCCGAGUGGCUCAGGUGAGUUUCGGGAUGGUUUCAGACCAUUUCAAGGGUUUUUUAGAUGGUGGAUUUUGGCUACAACAGUUGUAUGCGAUCCCGGGGAAAUGGUCGUGAUCGUGAUGAUUAAAGUCGGAGAAAAUGGCCUGUGCUUCGCGAUCUAGUGGAAGAAGGUCUCUGUUGCAUGGACCCGACUUUGGAAGCUUGUAUCUUGUAAUCUAUAAGGAAUUUGGAUAUGAUCAAAAUGAAAAUUGUAGCCAAGUAGCCAUUUAUGUCUAGUUUUCAGAAUAUUAAACCAUUUGGCAUUUGGAGAUGAGUACAAUAUGUUUUGUAUGGUACACUACAUCCUAUUUGGGAAGAGUUUGGAAAUCACGAAGAAAAAAUUUGUGUUGCAUAGGGAUGAUUUUCAAAGCUAAUAUCUCAUAAUAUAUAAGGAAAAAGGAGAUGAUCUAAGAAUGCAAUUAUUAUUCCUUGGAGUCUAGUUUUCAAAAAGUUAAACCAUUUGCAAUUUGUAGUUUUAUACAAAAGGUUAUAGCCAAUAUAAUAGGGACUGCCUGGAAGAGCUAGUUUGUUCUCUGCGAUCACGAAGCAUUUUACACUAUCACAAAGAGCAAAUUUUGGGCUGAGAAAUUUUGUGCUUUGCGAUCGCGCAACAUUUUCUGUGGUCGCAUAGAAUAAACACCUGGGCAGAAGCUAUAUUUCAAGGUUUCGACCAUUUUUAUCAUAUUCGAAGCUGUGGAGCUCAGAUUGAAGCGAAAUUUUAGGCGAUUUUCACCAUAUGGAUUGGAGUAAGUAUUCUAUAUCCACGAGUAAUUAUACUUCAUCAUUCUAUGGUUAUAUUCAUCAUUUAUUUCGAAUUUAAAUGGAGAAAAUCAAAAAAUUUGCAAAACUUUUCAAGAACGAAAAUUUAAGAUUAGGAGAGCAAGUUGUUAUUAGAAUUUGAUAAAAUUCGUGUGGUUGAACUCAUAUAGAAUGAGUUGUCAGAUUUUUUUAGUUUUUUUUUAGAAUCCAGGAACGUUGGCCCGAGGGCGAUUUUGUCAACUUUUUGAGCGAUCUGGGGAAUUUAUCUAAAUUGAAUUUUUGUGAGUAUUAGAGCAUAUAUUUAUGGAUUUUCCAAUUUAUUGGCUAGUUUUGGAGCGCUGUGCAUCAAUUUGAGACGUUGGAAGGGCUUGGAAGCCGGUUAAGGAACUUUGAAGCGACGUAAGUCUCCUUUCUAACCUUGAGAUGGAAUUAUCCCCAUCGGUGAACAAAAAUAUUAUGCGCUUCUACUUGUGGGGGCUACGUAUGCACGAGUUAAUGAAAGUCCGUACGUAGCUACUUGCUAUGCCUAUGUCCAGGUAGUUUUAGGCUUGCAUCAUGCUUUAUUGAUAUUGUUGUUAAUUUAUGUUACCGUUCUCUUGAGAAGAAACAAGAAUAGGUUUUGUAAUAAUUCCAUUGAAAAAAAUUUGAAUUGAGGAAUUUAAAAUUUUAAGUGUUUCCAUUAAACUUUAUAUUUUCGAAAGAAUUUAGAAAUAUUAUAAUAACUUAAGAAAUCUAUGUGUAAUCGCGUCGCAUGUGCACAUUGCGAGCGGGGAAAAUCUCUUUAAAAGAUUCACGUUGAAUUCUCCAUAUUUUGAAAUGGAAUCAAGAAAAGGGAUUUUGAUUAUCAAAAAGUUAUAUAUGACCGCAUCGCACAUAUGAGUCGUGAGCAGGGUAUUUCCUUCUACUAUUCUUAUGGGAUCGGGUCGUUUUCCUCGGCAGGAUUUAUGUACCACACUCCCAUGGGAGUGUGCCAUUUGCCUCUGCAGCUUAAUAGAUGCAUCUACAGUUCGCAUCGUUCAACCCUCGGCAGUGCGUAAUUUAUUUUUACGUUGGAACGGGCUAUACGACUCGGCAUUACUCGACAUUUCCUAUAUAUACACAUUAGUCUUAUGGACUUCGUGCGUAAUAUUUGUCUAGAAGUCGGUGUAACAUACGGAUUUUCCCUGAUUUUAUUUAUGACAACCUCUUGAUGAUAUCCAUUAUAUCUAUUGUCACACCUCCUUUUUCACUUACACCUCCGCAAGGAUGGGGCGUAAAGGAGUUUUUUCAAUUAAAGGACAAUCGGAACAGGAUUUAUUAUUAUUUAUUCAGACUCGCCACUUGGGAGAUUAAUGGUGUCCCAAGUCACCGAUUGAAUCCCGAAUCAAGGAAAAAGAUGACUCUGUUAACAGUCUGCGAAACAGAAAUCCGAGAAAAGAAUUUAACCCGGGAGAAGGUGUUAGGCAUUCCCGAGUUCCGUAGUUCUAGCACAGUUUCUCAACUGUUAUUUGAUUUUAAUACAUGCUAGCUUAUGUUCCUUUUAUUUAUAUACCGAUUUUGCCAUUAUUUAUUUUGAAAGACUUGCGACGUCGUGAAAGCGUAUUUCUAACCACGUCACGACCAGUGUACACGUGAUCGUCAAAACGUUUCGGCUUCGUCGAGAUUUGGAUUUGGGUCGCAUCAAUGCACACCCGAGUUUAGGAAGAUAAUAUUAUUAAAUGACGAGCCCAAAGCGUCUAACGCGUUAUUAUUUUGCGAGGACCAUGAAAUUUGCUAAAUGGAACGCCUCGAAUUUUAAGUAUUUUUAAAGACAUAAUUAAAGAGGGCCAAAUAUUUAUAAUUUUAUUUGGCACGGCGUACCUCGAUUCUAAAGAACUUGUACAUAAACGGAGCAAUCACGGAUAUUCUUGAUUUCCUGAAAUUAUUGCGAAGUCCAGAAUAAGGAUUCUAUAAGUGAACAUAAUAGCAUUCGACUACUUUACUUAAAUGUGACAUCAACUUUACUGAAUAACUUUUAAUUGAAACUUGAAAGCUUGCACAAAAGAAAAGAUGUGACACCAAUGCCACUAUAUUUUCAAAUUGACGAAAAGUUGACCACAAAACACAGUGACCGAAGGAACCAGCGUUACAACCAAAAAUCAUAUACGAAUUAGUGAUAUUCCAUUUAUAGAUAUUUUCUACUUAGAUCUCACAUGCUGAACGCAAGAACAGAACAUGAUUCCAAUAAGCAUACCAUUUUAUGCACACCUCAUUUCUUCAAAUACAAAAUCAUUAACAUCCAAUAUAGGUGGAAGUUGCUCAAUAUUAGUGGAACAAAUACAACCCAGACCGUAACCCCCAUCUAAAUAUCAAUUUAUUAGCUUAAACAGCUUGGUGGUUAAUUUAAACAAGCAUUUAUGUCAUAACAAUGAUUGAAGGUGUGAACUAACCAAAUUUAAAGAAUAAUCAAACAGAUCUAGAAUAUCCCACAUAACAAACAAAUUAGUGAAUAGACUACAUAAUAUCGUGAAAUUUAAUUAUAAAUUAUAACAAUUACAUUAUCUAAGACUGAGACACAUACCUUAAUAGCAAGAAACAGAAUUAGCAAAACCAAACAAAGACUAAGAACAUCCAUAAACUAAAGCUCGGCUCAUAAUCGGAAUCGGAGAUGCGAACAAGAUCUCGACGGCGGUGGAAACUCAACAAUGAACGGGCUGAAAACAAGCCAUUUGUGACUACUUUUACGGGUUAUUGAGGUCGAUUUUGAGCAAAUCUCAUGGUUGUUGCUAGGUGCCGGAUUUCGAAAGAAGAAGAAACAGUGGCGGAAAAAGGUGUGGAGAAGAGGGACUGUUUCGUUGGUAUGAGGGUGGUUGUCGACGAAUAGCAGCUGGACACCGGAGGCGACGUGGAGGGGCUGUUGGCUUGAUUAUGGCUGUGUAUCUCUUCUCCAAAAUGAAGAAGAAAGCUACAGUAGGUAGCUGCGUAUUUUUUCCCUCUCCCUUUCCAGAUUGUUUUAGCAUUAUAUUAUAGCUAGAGUCUAGGUCUAGGGUUCAUUGGAGUUUUUAGUUUGGCUUGUGUGGGAAUUGGGUAAGGAAAUUGUUGUUUGAGUUGGUUUUGGCUUUAAAAAAAAAAAGGGCCAAUUUUUUAAUUUAAAAUCACAUUGCA